CUCAACAUACAAUUAGAACCUAUUUGAACAGAAAUGAAACUCAAUCAGAGAAAUUAAACUCAACAGAUGCGAAAUCAACACAAGACAUUUAAGGAAAAUGAUAAACAACGCAAAUCAAAAGAAACACAAGCUCAGAAUCAAACUGAAACAAAACACAAAACUAAUAACAGAGACAAAGACGCGAAUCAAAAUGACAGAUCAACAUAACAACGCGGAUCAACACAAACCGAAUCGGAAAAUAUAAAACAAGAUAGAGAAGACAUACUUAUCUUUGUCGCGUGGACGCAACCUUGCUCUAACUACCAUAUGAUACACGAAGCCUUGAGGAGAACGCCGAUUGGAACAGUGCGACGACGAAUCUAGAGCUCCUCGAAGCUUCUCCGAAGAGAAGACACAGCAGAAUGAUGAAGGAAGCUCUAGACCGAGAGAAUAUCAUAAGCGAACAGAAGAAACUUAAAAAUCAUGAACGAACCCUAAUCGGACAUGAAGAAACCCUAUAAGAAGGGGGAAACUCGAUUUGGACCGAUUAAANGAUAGAAAUCGAAAAUCAAUCGGUGGAAAAUAGUUUAAACGGUAGAAAAAUGGUUUUGAUCGGUUGAAUUUGAAGGAAAGUGAAAAAAUGAGAAGGAAAACCUAGGUUUGAGGAAGAUGAUCGGUGGAAAAGAUGAACUGAUGAGAAGGAAUAAAGAUCUGAGACGAUAAUGGNCAGAUNUNUGGAGAAAAAUGGGUUUUACCGUUGAAAAGAGGCAACAAUGAUGAAUCUNUGAUGAACUGNAGGAGAGGAGCUCUUCGAGAGAGAAGAUGCUCUCGAGGUAUCUAGGAGAUGAAAAUGAAAUGGUGCGUGUUUGCGAAAUGAAGAGAAGGAUGUGCUGAUUUUUGGAAGGGCUGACGCAGGCAGAGGAGGUGGCAGCGAGAGAGUGGUUCAGCGUGUAUGAGUGAGAAGCACCGUGGAAAUUAAUGGAAUAAUGAAAUAAUGAAGUGUGCUUUGGAAGGAGGCUAGAGGUCUUUGGACUCUCUAGCCAAGGACUUUCAAGAGAGAAUUAAUUCUGGAUUUCAGAAAUUUAAUUCUCAUUCAGCUCAAAAGUAAUUACAAGAUGUGUUAGCAUGCCUAUAUAUAGGUCUAAAUGUACCACAUGCCUAACACAUUGUACACAUGUCUAUUACAAGUAAAAGAAAGACUACACUAAAGAAAUUGGGCUUAGGCCCCACGUAUCAGAAACUCUUGCAAAAAAUAAAAAAUAAAUGCAAGAAAAAAUGUAGAAACUGUGACAAAAUAUUAUAGUGUAAAAUAUGAAUGAAUAUGCAAAUGACAUUAUAAUGCUGUAAUAUGUUUAAUGAAUAUGUAAAACAUCAUGAAAAUAUAAAUGGAACAUGAUCUAAUUGGAACAUUGUGAAAAUGC
rnacentral:lncRNA from 1 species